UACGGAGGGGGCUAGCGUUGUCCGGAUUUACUGGGCGUAAAGCGUGUGUAGGCGGACCUUUAAGUAGAAAGUGAAAGGUUGGUGCUCAACACCAACACUGCUCUCUAUACUGGAGGUCUUGAGUGUCGGAGAGGAAGAUGGAAUUGCACGUGUAGCGGUGAAAUGCGUUGAGAUGUGCAGGAACACCAAUGGCGAAGGCAAUCUUCUGGACGAAAACUGACGCUGAGACACGAAAGCCAAGGUAGCAAACAGG
rnacentral:rRNA from 1 species